GUUCACAAACGCAUGACGUGCCUGCCGUUACUGUUUGUCUACCUUCUGCAUACGGGGACCAACAAAACUUGUGUCUUACGUGUUUUCCCAUUCAUUUUCAACACCGCCUAUCCUGAAGAGGGUCGCGGGGAGUUGCUGGAGGCUAUCCCUGCUGAUUCCGGGCGAAAGGCAGACUACACCCUGAAGUGGUCGUCGGUCAGUCGCAGGGCACAUAUCAAGACAAACAGCCAUUCACACCCUCAUCCACGCCGUCAUUGAGUCGGAACCGAUUCCACGUUGUCCGCACACAAGUGAGGAGCCGCACGUGAUUGGUCAUGAUCCGUGGUAGAAGAGGGAGGGGAGCGUGACACAGACGCUGCAGAGACGAGAAGGGGGAGGAGUUAGAGACACA